rnacentral:rRNA from 1 species
GAUGAACGCUGGCGGCGUGCCUAAUACAUGCAAGUCGAGCGAAUGGAUUGAGAGCUUGCUCUUAUGAAGUUAGCGGCGGACGGGUGAGUAACACGUGGGUAACCUGCCCAUAAGACUGGGAUAACUCCGGGAAACCGGGGCCAAUACCGGAUAACAUUUUGAACCGCAUGGUUCGAAAUUGAAAGGCGGCUUCGGCUGUCACUUAUGGAUGGACCCGCGUCGCAUUAGCUAGUUGGUGAGGUAACGGCUCACCAAGGCAACGAUGCGUAGCCGACCUGAGAGGGUGACCGGCCACACUGGGACUGAGACACGGCCCAGACUCCUACGGGAGGCAGCAGUAGGGAAUCUUCCGCAAUGGACGAAAGUCUGACGGAGCAACGCCGCGUGAGUGAUGAAGGCUUUCGGGUCGUAAAACUCUGUUGUUAGGGAAGAACAAGUGCUAGUUGAAUAAGCUGGCACCUUGACGGUACCUAACCAGAAAGCCACGGCUAACUACGUGCCAGCCGCCGCAGUAA